CGCAUUAUUAUAGCCUAGGCAUCUAACAAAUAAAUAAUUUACUUUUAAAGAUUUCAAAAUAAGGUCUCUUUCAGUACUACAGUUUUGCAUUAGUAAAUUUCUACGAAAAUAAUCCGCGAACAUGGAAACUUAACUGCAGGCGUGUUGUUUCUAAUUUAAAUUAUAGGGGGCUCAAUAAAUGGCGCAAGCUGUUGUGGUUGCUGUCCAUGUACAUGUACCGAGUUGUCCAAGUACAUUUAUCUGUAUCGUAUUUCUUAUUAAUAUAUGUAUAGAGUUAACGCUGGC